CCUACGGGAGGCAGCAGUGGGGAAUAUUGCACAAUGGGGGGAACCCUGAUGCAGCGACGCCGCGUGGGGGAAGGAGUAUUUCGGUAUGUAAAGCCCUAUCAGCAGGGAAGAACAAUGACGGUACCUGACUAAGAAGCACCGGCUAAAUACGUGCCAGCAGCCGCGGUAAUACGUAUGGUGCAAGCGUUAUCCGGAUUUACGGGGUGUAAAGGGAGCGCCGGCGGCGCGGUGAGCCUGGUGUGAAAGUCCGCGGCCCAACCGCGGGACUGCAUUGGGAACUGGCGCGCUGGAGUGCGGGAGGGGUAGGCGGAAUUCCUAGUGUAGCGGUGAAAUGCGUAGAUAUUAGGAGGAACACCAGUGGCGAAGGCGGCCUACUGGACGGUGACUGACGCUGAGGCUCGAAAGCGUGGGGAGCAAACAGGAUUAGAUACCCCAGUAGUC
rnacentral:rRNA from 1 species